rnacentral:rRNA from 1 species
UGAACGCUAGCUACAGGCUUAACACAUGCAAGUCGAGGGGCAGCAUGGUCUUAGCUUGCUAAGGCCGAUGGCGACCGGCGCACGGGUGAGUAACACGUAUCCAACCUGCCGUCUACUCUUGGACAGCCUUCUGAAAGGAAGAUUAAUACAAGAUGGCAUCAUGAGUCCGCAUGUUCACAUGAUUAAAGAAUUUCGGUCAUCGAUGGGGAUGCGUUCCAUUAGGCAGUUGGCGGGGUAACGGCCCACCAAACCAACGAUGGAUAGGGGUUCUGAGAGGAAGGUCCCCCACAUUGGAACUGAGACACGGUCCAAACUCCUACGGGAGGCAGCAGUGAGGAAUAUUGGUCAAUGGACGAGAGUCUGAACCAGCCAAGUAGCGUGAAGGAUGACUGCCCUAUGGGUUGUAAACUUCUUUUAUACGGGAAUAAAGUUAGCCACGUGUGGCUUUUUGUAUGUACCGUAUGAAUAAGGAUCGGCUAACUCCGUG